rnacentral:snoRNA from 1 species
AUUGCUCCGCUGUGCCUGUACUAUUGGAGCAAAGAAAAAGUGGCUAUCUCUAUGCUCAGUGUUCACAAACCAGUGAGCACUAAGAAUGGUUCAUAGCCUGACAUU